rnacentral:lncRNA from 1 species
AUCCCCAAAUUCCAAAGUACGAAUACAUAUUACACCUCGAGUACCCAAAUCCUUCCACGAGGGAUAUUCUAAAAUUCCGUUGUGCAAUCAAACACACUUAGAUAUCCGUAGUCGAUCUAGCAAGAAAGCACUGAAACACACGUAGUACCAUCAGUCUAAUCACAUUUCCUUUUUUCCAAGACAUUUACUCUCAUCAAAUCACUUCUGUUUAGGAGUACCAUUACCUUGGUCAUCUGAGGCUACCCGUUG